rnacentral:rRNA from 1 species
ACUAAAUAGAUACCCCGGUAGUCCACGCCGUAAACGAUGGAUACUAGCUGUUCGGAGCAAUCUGAGUGGCUAAAGCGAAAAAGUGAUAAGUAUCCCACCUGGGGAGUACGCACGCAAGUGUGAAACUCAAAGGAAUUGACGGGGGCCCGCACAAGCGGUGGAGCAUGUGGUUUAAUUCGAUGAUACGCGAGGAACCUUACCAGGGCUUAAAUGUAGAUUGACAGGACUGGAAACAGUUUUUCUUCGGACAAUUUACAAGGUGCUGCAUGGUUGUCGUCAGCUCGUGCCGUGAGGUGUCAGGUUAAGUCCUAUAACGAGCGCAACCCUGUCGUUAGUUGCCAGCGAGUCAUGUCGGGAACUCUAACGAGACUGCCAGUGU